UUCUUUAUGUCUUACAAAGGUGCACACAAUGUUUACCUUCAUGAAGGUGUGUUGCUUUUUUGCGAAGUGGUUUUGGGAGUAGGUCUGAUAUGUGUCAAAUUUCCUGCUUCAAAUCUGGAUCGAAAAACAAAAAAUGGGUCCCUCAAGUUGCAGUGUGAUGAUGUUUCUCAUUAUUUCUGCAUUUUUCUAUGGAUUCUGUCCUUCAUUCCACCGGAGUCUGUGUCUCUAAGCAAUCAGAUUUCAGUGGUGUGAAGUGUAGAAGGCAUGGAGUCAUCACACAAACUUACCUGCAUGCAGACAAAUUCUAAACCACAGGAGAGACUGGACAACAGAACAGAAUGAGGGUGUUAAUGAGAAUCACCAAGACCAUAUGUCUUUAUAAUCAAUGAACCAAACUCCACAUUGGCCAUAGCUAAGUGAUUUUAGUUUUGGGGUUAGAGUCAGUUUUUGUAUUUGUAGAUCAGUAUCAGUAUUCACAUCCUUUUCUCUGGAGUAUGUGUUUGAGUGGAGGCGUGUAUAUUUAGUUUCAUUUGCUGCUUGGAUCACUUGGUGUAUGCUAAAAAGUGUAAAUGUAUUCCUCCCCUGACCUUGUGCCCUCCAUCUUUGUACAGAGAGGUUUUAAGUUCAUAACUUCCCCACUUUUAACCUCCCCAUAAACCAGUUUGCCUUGCAUGUGCCCUUUUACACAAGGCAUCGAUAUCAGACACAAUGUUGAUUUUUUUUUUCUAUUUGUGGGCCAAAAAGCCUACAUGUGGUGCGCGUGCACACACACACACACACACACACUUCCAAGAUGAGUUUGGACGAUGACCUCUUAUGCAAAUAAACUUGGUACAGAUUCUGUUUUAUAUUACUCUGUUUACUGUGUUUAAUCCUCAUAAUAAAAUACACUUAUGCUAAAUGCA